UACAGAGGCCUCAAGCGUUGUUCGGAAUCACUGGGCGUAAAGCGAAUGUAGGUGGCUUAGAAAGUCAGAUGUGAAAGCCCUGGGCUUAACCCGGGAAGUGCGUCUGAUACUUCUUAGCUAGAGUGCGGGAGAGGAAAGUGGAAUUUCUAGUGUAGGGGUGAAAUCCGUAGAUAUUAGAAGGAAUACCAAUGGCGAAGGCAACUUUCUGGCCCGCAACUGACACUCAGAUUCGAAAGCAUGGGUAGCAAACAGG
rnacentral:rRNA from 1 species